rnacentral:rRNA from 1 species
GACGAACGCUGGCGGCGUGCCUAAUACAUGCAAGUAGAACGCACAGUUUAUACCGUAGCUUGCUACACCAUAGACUGUGAGUUGCGAACGGGUGAGUAACGCGUAGGUAACCUGCCUGGUAGCGGGGGAUAACUAUUGGAAACGAUAGCUAAUACCGCAUAAUAUUGAUUAUUGCAUGAUAAUUGAUUGAAAGAUGCUAUUGCAUCACUACCAGAUGGACCUGCGUUGUACUAGCUAGUAGGUGAGGUAACGGCUCACCUAGGCGACGAUACAUAGCCGACCUGAGAGGGUGAUCGGCCACACUGGGACUGAGACACGGCCCAGACUCCUACGGGAGGCAGCAGUAGGGAAUCUUCGGCAAUGGACGAAAGUCUGACCGAGCAACGCCGCGUGAGUGAAGAAGGUUUUCGGAUCGUAAAGCUCUGUUGUAAGAGAAGAACGGGUGUGAGAGUGGAAAGUUCACACUGUGACGGUAUCUUACCAGAAAGGGACGGCUAACUACGUA